rnacentral:rRNA from 1 species
GUGCCAGCAGCCGCGGUGAUACGUAGGGUGCAAGCGUUAAUCGGAAUUACUGGGCGUAAAGCGUGUGUAGGCGGUUCGGAAAGAAAGAUGUGAAAUCCCAGGGCUCAACCUUGGAACUGCAUUUUUAACUGCCGAGCUAGAGUAUGUCAGAGGGGGGUAGAAUUCCACGUGUAGCAGUGAAAUGCGUAGAUAUGUGGAGGAAUACCGAUGGCGAAGGCAGCCCCCUGGGAUAAUACUGACGCUCAGACACGAAAGCGUGGGGAGCAAACAGGAUUAGAUACCCUGGUAGUCCACGCCCUAAACGAUGUCAACUAGCUGUUGGGGCCGUUAGGCCUUAGUAGCGCAGCUAACGCGUGAAGUUGACCGCCUGGGGAGUACGGUCGCAAGAUUAAAACUCAAAGGAAUUGACGGGGACCCGCACAAGCGGUGGAUGAUGUGGAUUAAUUCGAUGCAACGCGAAAAACCUUACCUACCCUUGACAUGUCUGGAAUGCCGAAGAGAUUUGGCAGUGCUCGCAAGAGAACCAGAACACAGGUGCUGCAUGGCUGUCGUCAGCUCGUGUCGUGAGAUGUUGGGUUAAGUCCCGCAACGAGCGCAACCCUUGUCAUUAGUUGCUACGCAAGAGCACUCUAAUGAGACUGCCGGUGACAAACCGGAGGAAGGUGGGGAUGACGUCAAGUCCUCAUGGCCCUUAUGGGUAGGGCUUCACACGUCAUACAAUGGUCGGGACAGAGGGUCGCCAACCCGCGAGGGGGAGCCAAUCUCAGAAACCCGAUCGUAGUCCGGAUCGCAGUCUGCAACUCGACUGCGUGAA